rnacentral:rRNA from 1 species
UCAAUAAGCGGAGGAAAAGAAACCAACCGGGGAUUGCCCCCAGUAACGGCGAGUGAAGCGGCAAGAGCUCAAAUUUGAAAGCUGGCUCCUUCGGGGUCCGCAUUGUAAUUUGCAGAGGAUGUUUCGGGAGUGGCCCCCAUCUAAGUGUCCUGGAACGGACCGUCAUAGAGGGUGAGAAUCCCGUAUGGGAUGGGGUGCCCACGCCCGUGUGAAACUCCUUCGACGAGUCGAGUUGUUUGGGAAUGCAGCUCUAAAUGGGUGGUAAAUUUCAUCUAAAGCUAAAUAUUGGCCGGAGACCGAUAGCGCACAAGUAGAGUGAUCGAAAGAUGAAAAGCACUUUGAAAAGAGAGUUAAAAAGCACGUGAAAUUGUUGAAAGGGAAGCGUUUGCGAUCAGACUCGCCGACGGGGUUCAGCCUGCCUUCGGGCAGGUGUACUUCCCCGCCGGCGGGCCAGCGUCGGUUUGGGUGGCCGGUCAAAGGCCCUAGGAAUGUAACGCCUCUCGGGGCGUCUUAUAGCCUAGGGUGUCAUGCGGCCUACCCGGACCGAGGAACGCGCUUCGGCUCGGACGCUGGCAUAAUGGUCGUAAACGACCCGUCUUGAAACACGGACCAAGGAGUCUAACAUCUAUGCGAGUGUUCGGGUGUCAAACCCGUGCGCGAAGUGAAAGCGAACGGAGGUGGGAACCCUUUGGGUGCACCAUCGACCGAUCCUGAUGUCUUCGGAUGGAUUUGAGUAAGAGCAUAGCUGUUGGGACCCGAAAGAUGGUGAACUAUGCCUGAAUAGGGCGAAGCCAGAGGAAACUCUGGUGGAGGCUCGCAGCGGUUCUGACGUGCAAAUCGAUCGUCAAAUUUGGGUAUAGGGGCGAAAGACUAAUCGAACCAUCUAGUAGCUGGUUCCU